UUCCCAAAUUUUUUUACUUUCGAGUUGAAAAAUAUUCCUGAAAAAAUUGUGUUUCCUCAGAAAACCUUAUAUCCCCAAAUCGUGAAUUCACGGUCAAACAAUUACAUUCACAUCCCGUCGUAUCGGGAACUGGGUAUUCUGAUUCGAAGACCAUUAUCACAAUUCUACAAGAUUAUUUUGUGAAAGAUGGCAAACCCGAAGCAAUUAUUGAGCAAAGUUUUUGGAAAAAUGAACUCUGCUCGAGUUAUGAGGGAACUCUAUGCAGACGCAACCCUGAAAAGCACCAAAAGUUUCCAUGCACUCUGCACCACAGAGAAAAAGGUCGGACUUUCUGGAAUACCACUGCACCACUAUGGAUCAAGCUUUCAACGUGGCAUCCCUGGAUUCAAGUGUCACCAAGUAAUCCCGGGAGUCAUGUCUCAGGGAGAAGUUUUUGCAAGGGGAUAUGCAUCCGGAGGUGAAGCUAUGCAGAAGGUUAAAGACGAGAGUCUAAAGCACGCCGGACGUGGUGUUCGUUCAGUGGCCAAUGCUGGACGAAGUAGCAGUGCAUCUGAAUUUCAGGAGAUUAUGGCAGACUACGUGCACCAAGAAAUGACCCGAACUUGGAUCUUGGUCCUAAUGAGAUUGUUCCUGAUUAUUGCAGUCAAAGAUGUUGUCGUGUCUCUCGUGUUUUCAGACUCAAAGGAUGAGGCAGGUAACAUAGAUUGACGAGAUGAAGUGAAGCAAUUGCAUGAAAUUCGAGACAGAAACGAGAGGUUUGGUGCAAGCGAUUUAUCUUAUAGACAUUUAUAUUUGCUUUAAGUUUUGUAGCAGCAGCCAGCCAACUGGUAUCUCUAGUUUGAGGAUUGCUUUAGAAUAAAGAAUCAGCUGAUGUAAAUUGUGGAUCAUCUGCUUGUUUCCUUGGUUAUCCCAUAUUAUGGUUGCAUAAUAAGAAACUUCAUUUCUGAGUUGA